rnacentral:rRNA from 1 species
UGGGGGAUAUUGCACAAUGGGCGAAAGCCUGAUGCAGCGACGCCGCGUGGGGGAUGAAGGCCUUCGGGUUGUAAACUUCUUUUGCUCUGAACAAGGCAUGCUAAUGGGAGCGUUGAGUGUAGGGGUUGAUUAGCGCCGGCUAACUACGUGCCAGCAGCCGCGGUAAUACGUAGGGCGCGAGCGUUGUCCGGAAUUAUUGGGCGUAAAGGGCUUGUAGGGGGCUGGUAGCGUCUGUCGUGAAAGCUCAUGGCUUAACUGUGGGUUUGCGGUGGGUACGGGCUGGCUUGAGUGCAGUAGGGGAGGCUGGAAUUCCUGGUGUGGCGGUGGAAUGCGCAGAUAUCAGGAGGAGUACCGGUGGCGAGGGCGGGUCUCUGGCUGUUACUGACGCUGAGGAGCGAAAGCAUGGGGAGCGAACAGG